rnacentral:sRNA from 1 species
GAACAUUCUAGUAGAACCGAGGUGUC